GGGGAUUUAGCUCAGCGGUAGAGCGCUUGCCUAGCGAGCGCAAGGCCCUGGGUUCGGUUCCCAGCUCCG
rfam:Rattus norvegicus chromosome 12, whole genome shotgun sequence.